GGAUGUGAGGGCGAUCUAGCUGCGACAUCUGUCACCCCACUGAUUCAGCUGAUCUGGCUGGCUAGGCUGGUGUCCCCUUCCUCCCUCACGGCUCCAUGUGCAUCCCUCCUGAAGCUGCGUGAGCUUGGGUGAAGAGGAUGGCCUUCCCUGAAUAGAGAUGGACGUGUCUUUGGUGGAGAGUAUAGGAGUAGCUGCGCUCCCCUGAUAGAACCUCCAAACAAGCUCUCAAGGUCAAUUUUUCUCUACCUUAUUUAAUAAAAAAGAAAGAAAAGAGGGGGAAAUGGGGAAAAAAUGGCUGCUUCGAGCAGUAGAUU
rnacentral:snRNA from 1 species